rfam:Moraxella macacae 0408225 chrom_contig2, whole genome shotgun sequence.
CAUUGGUAGCUUCGCAACUUGUAGCUAUGAACCCCGCCAGGACCGGAAGGUAGCAACGGUAGUAGUUUUCAAGUGUGCCGAAGAUGUGCUAAUGGGG